UGUCGGUUGUGAUUGCGUUCGUCUCGAUAGCGAUAGUCCGACUAAAGGAACUGAGUCACCGACAACUUUGUAACGAUAAGUGUGUGUGGUGUGUUUGUGUGUGUAUGUGUAUGUCUGUGUGUUCCGUGUUUGCAAACAAUCACUUGCUCGGCCGAUGACGUCACCCGGUAUACCUGGUGUUACUUUUUCUGUCUUCCGGACACGCGUCUGAAAUGCAUAUUUAAUUAGUCGAAACAUCCGAAGAUAAUGGAUGAGGUCUUGAGACACGCCAUCCGUCUGGCUGGGGGCCUUGUACCCGCAGGGCCAGGUGGUCGACGGGGAGGUGGUAGGCCACGAGCCACUGACUCCCUUAAUGACUUGAGACAGCAGGCACGUGCCAGCCGACAACAAUGGGGGCCUAACGGUUCCUUUUCCUCUCUGCCAGUUGCCGACGUCUUAACGGGUCGCUAUGGUCUCGCCUCCUGUGCCCAUUAUUGCUUUUGGACCGUUUAUGUAUCCAAUGGGGAGAAGAAACUUACGGGAUAAAAUGCAAUUAAAUGUGCAAUCAACAUAUGGAGCGGAGAGGGGGUGUUCUCAACACGUGUUGCAAAUCCGACCAUCUGCUUGCUGUGUGUGAUUCUAACGGCUUUUGGGUGACUGGCACCGAUCGGAGGAGAGUGUCUUUUAAUUUUUCAUCUAUCUUAAAACCAGUAAACGUUCUCCGAUUCCUUGAAAAUGGCUUCAUCUGUACGGUAGUUGGAUUUUCUGGAAGAAUAUUCUGUGGUAACAACGGAAAUACCACUGCCUUUCCUUCCUCACCGAGGCUUUAUCCGGAUUAUCCGAUUCCGUUUAACCUUUAGAAGAGAUACUCUUUCCAAGUUUUCCAAAAAAAAAAAAUAAAAAAAAAUAUUACAACGUCUUUUUUUACCUAUUGUGC
rnacentral:lncRNA from 1 species